ACGAACGCUGGCGGCGUGGAUAAGACAUGCAAGUCGAACGAGGACUAUCGGGUAGCAAUAUUCGGUAGUUCGAGUGGCGCAAGGGUGCGUAACACGUGGGCAAUUUGCCAUAAAGUUGGGGAUAACUUGCUGAAAGGCGAGCUAAUACCGAAUGUGGUUUUUGAAAGGCAUCUUUUGAAAACUAAAGUUGGGGAUCGUAAGACCUGACGCUUUAUGAUGAGCCCGCGGNCUAUCAGCUAGUUGGUGAGGUAACGGCUCACCAAAGCUAAGACGGGUAGCUGGUCUGAGAGGACGACCAGCCACACUGGAACUGACACACGGCCCAGACUCCUACGGGAGGCAGCAGUAAGGGAUAUUGGUCAAUGGGCGCAAGCCUGAACCAGCAACGCCGCGUGCAGGAUGACGGCCUUCGGGUUGUAAACUGCUUUUGGUGGGGACGAGCGAGGACGGUACCCACCGAAUAAGUCACGGCUAACUACGUGCCAGCAGCCGCGGUAACACGUAGGUGGCGAGCGUUAUCCGGAUUUACUGGGCGUAAAGCGUGUGCAGACGGAGCAGCAAGUGGUGUAUGAAAUCGCGGUGCUUAACACAGCGAGGUUAUGCCAGACUGCUGGACUAGAGUGCGAGAGAGGGAGAUGGAAUUCCGGGUGUAGUGGUGAAAUGCGUAGAGAUCCGGAGGAACCCCAGAGGCGAAAGCGGUCUCCUGGCUCGCAACUGACGUUCAGACACGACAGCAUGGGGAGCGAACGGGAUUAGAAACCCCGGUAGUCCAUGCCGUAAACGAUGCCGACUAGGCGCUGGUGGUGAUAAACCGUCGGUGCCGCAGCUAACGCGCUAAGUCGGCCGCCUGGGGACUACGGCCGCAAGGCUAAAACUCAAAGGAAUUGACGGGGGCCCGCACAAGCAGCGGAGCGUGUGGUUUAAUUCGAGGCUACACGAAGAACCUUACCUGGACUUGACAUGGGACAGAACGAGGGUGAAAGCCUGAGGUUCGCAAGACUGUUUCACAGGUGCUGCAUGGCUGUCGUCAGCUCGUGUCGUGAGAUGUUAGGUUAAGUCCUGUAACGAGCGCAACCCCUGGUGGUAGUUACACGGUGUCUACCGCAACUGCCUGCGUAAGUGGGAGGAAGGUGGGGAUGACGUCAAGUCAGCAUGGCCUUUAUGUCCAGGGCUACACACACGCUACAAUGGUCGGUACAACAGGAUGCCAAGCGGCAACGCGGAGCAAAUCCCCUAAAGCCG
rnacentral:rRNA from 1 species